UACGUAGGUGGCAAGCGUUGUCCGGAUUUAUUGGGUUUAAAGGGUGCGUAGGUGGUCAAUUAAGUCAGUGCUGAAAUAUCCCGGCUUAACCGGGAGAGGUCUGUGUAUACUGGCGGGCUUGAGGGGGGUAGAGGAAAGUGGAAUUCCCGGUGUAGUGGUGAUAUGCGUAGAUAUCGGGAGGAACACCUGUGGCGAAGGCGGCUUUCUGGGCCCUACCUGACGCUGAGACGCGAAAGCGUGGGGAGCGAACCGG
rnacentral:rRNA from 1 species